UACGUAGGGAGCAAGCGUGGUCCGGAAUCAUUGGGCGUAAAGCGCGCGUAGGUGGCCAUGUAAGUCCGCUGUGAAAGUCAAAGGCUCAACCUUUGAAAGCCGGUGGAUACUGCAUGGCUAGAGUACGGAAGAGGCGAGUGGAAUUCCUGGUGUAGCGGUGGAAUGCGCAGAUAUCAGGAGGAACACCAAUAGCGAAGGCAGCUCGCUGGGACGUUACUGACACUGAGGCGCGCAAGCGUGGGGAGCGAACAGG
rnacentral:rRNA from 1 species